UUUUGCCACUUUCUACUUCCUAACAUCCCCAGUGACAUAAAUGAUAAAUGCUUCUCCUGUAGCUGUGUGGACUCUGAGUCCAGGAAACGACAAGAGCAACGUCUUCCCGGGGAUGGAGAAACACUGUGCUCUGAACCCCGCCUCGAAACCAGUGGGAGAAAGAGCAUAAGGGACUAUCGUGAUGGAGAAGAACUAGAGGACCAAGCCUCAGGGGGAAAAAAUCAAACACACAUCUUAUUUUAAUGAAAAGGAACAAGUUUUGAAUCAUUCACCGAAAGUCCUGAAACCCUCCCCAUGGCCUGGAGAGUGGAGCUGGUGGCCGUGGGAGCUGGAUCAACGCUGGGAGCUGCUUUUGAGUCUCCCUUUACGCUGGGUGACUUCGUCUUUCCUCCUCAUCUCUGCUGGAGCAUUUCCAACCUCCUGCCACAAAACUCAACACAUGCAGGCAGAAGAGCCUUGGACGGGGGCCACAGACAUCCUGCUCUGUUCCCAAAGCCAGUACUCGGUAGGAAUUUAAUAAACUGUUAAGUGAGUGAAUGAAUACAUGAAUAUUUUCUUUUCAAGAGAUCAGUAAGGUGAAACUAUUCAUACGCAAUUUUAUUUGGGUUUCAAAGUUUAGAUUUGUUUUCUGUUACUUUGCAAACACUUUUUUCUCUGUUGGGUUCCGAAUAAUGGAGAUUAUUUAGUAAUCAGGAAAGGACAGGGAAAUGAAUGUUCCUGACCAUGAGGUUUUUCCUCUGUUAAGCACAAACAAUUCUCAACAAAGGAGAAGAGGUGUAUGGGGACUUGAAUAGAGGUAAGGUCCUUUUUGGAUUUUUUUUUUUA